CGCAUCGUCGAACCACAGGAUGUACAGACAGAACAACCCCACAAUCAGCGCGUGCACAGUUGAAACCAACCUGAAGAUGGACACAUAUAUAAGAUGAAGAAGUAGUAAACAUGAUGACAGGCUAACAGGAAUUUUAGGCCUGAUACAGCAUAGCCCUGACCUUUGGAGCGGUUAUCUAGGCCACUGAAGAGAUACUCCAGAGGUCCAGUGGCCCCUUAUCUCUCCUCUACCAGAAUCACAGUUCCUCCUCUGUCACUAUGCAGUGUCUGGGGUAUGGCAGACUCUGUCCACAGGCUGCAGCUGCUGGCCUGAGCCCUUGCCAAGAAUGGGUCUACAGAUCAACUACUGUAUGAGUGGAUGAGUCCAUUAUUACUGCUGAAUCAGACUGAAGAGUCUAAAAAUGGAACAGUUACAGAGGAACUUGGCUAAAGGAAGUUGGUAAAACAGUGUGUCAAUAUCACCGUCUGUUUAGGAUACGUUACAAAUAUCACAGGCACUCUCUGCUACUUGUGUUUGUAUUGGAAUUAUUUUCGUAAAAACUAAAUAAUUUACAAAGGAAGAGGGAACAGAUAAAAAAAACAGACAAGGGGAACAGAUAAAGAAAUUAAUAAAUUAUGCAGAUGCGUUCAAUACUAGACAUGCUCUUCCUUUGGAAAUGCUUUCUCCCUCCUCUUCGUGCACUUAAGUCAUGGUUACAUAAACAACAUACUGACACACUGAGAGCUGAGCUGUUACACAACAGCAGGCCGCUCUGAAGUGAACCAUCAGUGCCUGGCCUUUGACUUGUUUUGGACUGUUCUUUGGUUGGUACAACACGUACUUGUGGACAGAAUGGCUAAUGUAAACCAGAGUUGUAUGAAUGAAGGGUUAUCUGUGACUACUGACAGAUAACCAAUAACUAAAUGAAAGAUGUUAUGCAACUACAGAUUACUGCCCUCUGAACUUCACCCCUGAGGCUUCUCCUUGAAACUUAAAACUUCUCUGUGCUCCACCAGCUGUUCACAUCACUGCUGUAGUUGCGUGGAAUGAUGAAUCAUAUUAAGGUCCACCUCAACAGAGCUGUUUCACCAAAUACACUGGUGUUUGCUUAACAGAGGUCAGGUUUAUCGGCAUGUCAAACCUUUGCAAUGUUAUACAACAAUACUUUUGAAAGGAGGUGUAUCUCAGUGGAUGUACAGGGCUAUCUGCAAAACCAUUUGAAAAUUUUGAAUGCUUUUUAUAAAAGUGUAUGUGUCAAAGAAACAGUAAAUAUGAAACAAAUAAACAACAAAAUGCUGGUGGGUUUACAUACA